GCACUAAUGGGGUAGUGGUAACCUCGAAGUUUCCCAUCUAGGAUUCUACUUUGGCCCCGUGUUCGAUUCACGGUUAGUGCA